GAGACUUGCGCGCGCACCCUCAGAGCUUUGUCAACGUUACUAGGAGUCCGGAACCCCGCAGUCAACGUGUGGACUAAUUUGCCGGACGCUGCUGACUCAGCGUUUGUGAGGCCGGCUUGGAAAGAGGCGCCCUCGAGGGCCAGGAGCAGGCCGCGUCUGCCUGCCCUCCAUACUACCCAAUCAGUCUGCGUUUGCUGCUGUGAUGUGCUCGGCUUCCCCUCUUCUCGCCGCCCUGCCUGCCGGUUCUGUCCCUUGGCUCACGCAAGGCUGCGGCUCACGCUACUCCGCUUGGAAGGCUGGCUUUGAGGGCUCAGGGCAGAGAGAAAACGAGGAACCCGAGUCAGCGUAUUAAGCCCUCCCGGCCCCGGGGUGGGUCAAGUGACAGCCGCGGAGGCAGGCAGCAAAGGGCGAAACGCUGCUCAGCCAAACCAGUUUACGCUCUUCCCUCCUGCCCAUCUCUCUCUCUGGUCCUGUUCAGACGCUAUACAGCUCAGAAUGCAGCAAGAACAUAAGAACACAAGUGAGCACCCAUGAAAAAUGGACCCCCUGGACCUGGAGAAGACCCUCCACCGUCAAGGACCCACGCCCAGAGGCUGCAAUUGGCAGAAGAUGACUGGCACGGCCCUGCCAGCCACACGCAAGGUGAGGCUGGGAUCUAUCCCUCCCUUGGACCUUUUGGACUUUCCUCUCACUGAACUCUUUUAACCAGACUCUACCCAAACCCGUAGGAACUCGCGUACAGUGCUAUAUUCUCUCUACCAUUGCAACCACACAUUCGUUAGUACGCGGCCGUGUUUUAUCGGGAAAUUCUAUUCACUGUUGCUUUUGUAAACCGUAUGUUAAACAUUCUCUAAUAAAAGUCAACCCGCUCUUCCUCCGAGGAGCUCAGAAUGGUGUGCAUGAUUAAAGUGGGGGUGUUAUUAGAAGAUGGCCCAUGGGGCUCACUCAAGCCCCCAAUGAAUGGCCCCCAGGGCCCCAAAUCCCAUCUGCCACCUCCUCCUCAAUUGGGGGGGGGGCAGCUGGUUGCUGCCGCUGCUGCUCUAGCAGCAAUGAUUGCUUCUGCCUCCUUCCUAAAAGGAGCUGUGCUGUAAUGGUGGCAAAACAGAUAUCUUAGCCUCCACUACAGCACUUAACUCCUCCAGUUUCCCUUUGGAGAGGAGUCAGACAUAAUUAUUCAAAGGGGGGGCAUGAUUGAGUUUAAUUAUCAAAAGAGGGGGGGCGUGGGCCUGGCCCCUGAAAAAGUGCCUAGCAAUACCCCAGGCUUAAAGGAUCCCUUAGAAGAGAACUGGUUGCAUGCCUGAGUUGUGUGUGUGUGUGGCCAAAUUCCCUCUCCUGCUCUUUAGGACUCAUGCUUCAUGUUCCUAGGGACCAAAUCAGCGGCAGGCAAAUGCUUCCAGCCCAGUCUCCCCUCUCUGGCCAGCUUGUUUUCCUGCUGCCAAUGUUCUCUAGCAGCAAAAACCCUCACAGACCCUUUUGGUUUGGGGGUUUGGGUGGAUACAAGGAUGGUCAUCCUACUCCCAGAUAUUUUUCUCUGGGGAAAGGAAUCUCUACCAAAACUAGAGACCUCUUCUCUCUUGUCAUAUCUGCCCUAGAUGAGUUUGUCUAAUUCUUUUUUUUUUUUUAAGCCACGUAAGCUAGGUUUUCAUGGUCUUUUAGCAAGAUACCAUCACUGCAGCUCUCAGCCCUACAUUCUGGCUGAGCCCUGAGCUUUUUGGAAGGGCGGUAUAAAUUUUUUAAUAAUAAAUAAAUAAAUAAAUAAUAAAUACAUUCACCCCAAAGGAAGUUCACUUCUUCCCUUCCUUCCUGCAGCUGAUCUGCACUGUAAGAAUGCUCCCAGUUUAGAAUUUGACUCUGAAACCUUCCUCUCGCAGCACCAGCCAUUUCUUGGCUACAAUGAAAGUGGAACCGAUUUCUUUUUUUACAUAUAUGUGCUGUUCUAUUCAGAGUUUGCUCUCUCUGGGGAGGAGUGAUUCCAUGAUAGCCACAGCUAUUGAAUUCAUAUGGAUAAGUGGAAGAAGAGACUGAUUGAAACAUCUGGAGCUGGCUGUACCAAACCUUUGCAGGAUUGUACAAGAAUGUCACUGCCUGUUAGCAAUUGCUGUAUGGAGCAUGUGUUCUUCAUAACAGAUAAUACUUGGGCAGAUGAAUGAAACUGAGGUUGUGCACGUGACCAGUACAGGGGCAGGCAGCAGGGGGAGGCAGGGAUGAACCUACCUUCCCCCACAGCCGAUCAACUAUCUCCUCUUCAGUGUGCCACAAGGAACACAGAUCACUGGAGGCCAGGAAAAUGAGUCCCGGCCUCCAGGAAUCCCAAAAUGCACCAGCCGGGCAGCAUAGUGCAUUGGGGGAUUCCCCCGUGAAUUGGGCGCUCUAGGCACCCAAAUCUGCAUUCAGGCCAAGCUCACACACGACUGCAUACCUGGGGCAAAGGGUGCGCCUGGUGCCAAGCGUGACCUCUGCUUUAGAGACAGAGUGGGGAGUGGGAGAAAGAAAUAUGUGGGAUGAGAAUAUGUUAAUUUGCGUGUUGAAAUGUUUCUGCUAAUGCAUAUUUGCAUAAAUAUACCUGUUUAAUAUUCUUACAUUUUUGUGAGUUCAGUUGCUGUUUGUGCCCUCAAGAACCCUCGUGUUAAAAAUACUGCGUGUGUCACGCUGUGUGUGUGUGUAGGGGGAUGAUGCUUAACUUGCAGCUGGGUGGGAUCUGGGAGGCUCCAAAGGCCGUUAGGUCCAGGAUCCAAAAUUACCUAGGUGCACCUCUGAUGUCCUUACUGGCUAAUCCCUGUCCCAGUUGUGACCUUGGCUUCAGCCUUGACUCAAGAGCUCUGCUUGUCAGGGCUGGUGGGCUUCUCAUAAAAUCAUAAUGGAAUCUGAGCAAGCUUCAAAGCAAGAAAAGGGCAGUGAGAAUGUGGCCUGGACUGGGAAACAGCUCACUUACAAGGUUCACAGCAACAGCAGCGGGGGGGGGGGGAGGAAAACAAGUGCCAACCUGAAUUCCAUGUGGGAAUGAGAGACAUCAGCAACCACUGGGCUCUGUCUGACCUAAAUGGCAUUCAGCAUUUUCCAGAAACUUUCUGACAUUUUCCUCACUUGGCACUGUUGAAACUUGCUACUGUUGAAAACAAACGUGUUGGGUCUCUACCCAGACAGAAGUUGUCCAGCCAAAAAUAGCCAUUUCAGAGUCUGUGGAAAAUGUACCUCCAUCCAUACUGAUAUUAUGCAUCCAGAUUUACAAAUGUAAAAGCAGAGCCGGUCUGGUGCAGUGAGACAGUAUCAGAUCUAGAGGACCUGGGUUUCAGUUCCUCAGUCAUGGAUUUGAGGAGGGACCAGAGUUCAGUUACAGAGCACAUUCUUUGCAUGCAUAAGGUCCCAGGUUCUUUCCCACAGAUUUUAGGUUACAGAACUGGAAAAGACCUCCUUGCCUGACAUCCUGAAGAUCUUCUGCCAGUCAGGGUGGACAGUGCUAACCUAGGGGACAAAUGGUCUGACUCAGUAUAAGGCAGCUUCUUAAAUGACUUGUUGCAUUCUUCUACCCAUCAGUC